rnacentral:lncRNA from 1 species
GUUUUCUAAGUUUGCUCUCAUGUGAGGCUAGUUCUUGUAUUCUUUGCUACUUUUGUCGCUUAAUGAUACUGAAAGUGGUUAAAACCUUUGUUGGAAAAUCUGAGCUAUGCCCUCUAAGGUUUCAUUAAGUGCUGGGGUCACUUGCCCCAGUUGGGGGGUCACUUCCCCCAGUUGUAUGUGCAAUUCAUUACUAAGAGAGAAUAUCCUGAGCAGUUCCCAAUGGUGGGUGGCUGGCUAAAAGGAAUCCCUGGAGAUUUUAGUGUGGUAGGAAAGCAUUUUCAUUCUUGAGGAUUUUUCUUUGACUUUUCUAUGGGCUGGCUGAUUUCCUCAGUUUGCUUUGUUCUGGGUUUUAGGGGAGAAUUCUUGGGAGGUUGUGAAUUUUCUUUGCCUACAGUGAGAUGGUUAGAUGCUAUUCUGAACUUUAUCUAGAUCUUACCCAAAUCCAUUUCCAUGUUAGCAAGCAUGAAGUUGUUUACCUUUUCUUUUUUGGCGAUUGAUGUUGAGUUUUUCGUUCUCACUCACUCCCUUGCCAGUUCCUUAGAUGUUAUGAUCCAGCUAUGACCCAGCUUUACACUUUCUUCACCCAGAAGUGACCUCACCUUUUCAUGACAGAGGAAACAGAAGCCAUGGACUUCUUAAUGCUAUAUGUCACAAACCUGUAUGCAUGUAAGAAUCUUUUAUUUCCUCGUAUUCCAGUGUUUUAAACAUCCUGUCACCCAUCAGGGACUUGUCCUUCAUAUGUAUUUCUCCUACACCUUUCCUACUCUGUCAUGCAUUUUGCACUAUUACUGUAUCUCUUUCUUGUAUUUUCAUCUUGUCACCCUGUAUUUAUUUAUUUUCCACCCACUUUUAAACUUAGUUACAUCUUUCAUGGUAAACAGGUUCUAGGGAGAUGGUUUGAUUAUGUAUCUUAAAUUCCCUCCCCUCAAUCUCUGUUUCCAUCUGCCAACUACCCUGUCUUGAAUAGAGCAGCUGCUGUGAGCCUGGAGCCUUUGGGCAAAUAAGAGUGUAUACAGUCCCUUGAUUUUACCAGAAGAUGGGAAAGAGAGCUUGCUUUGAUUUUCUUCCUGUAAUCCAGAUGAAGGUUUAGAGACGGGCAGCUGUGAAGCCUUCAGCAAAGGUCUGAACGGAAAGAACCUUGCUUUCAAAGAUACAUGGAUUUAGAGGAAAAGCGGUGCAGUUCAUAUGUAUGGUACUAGGAAGACUAGCUUCAGAGUACCUGUUUGGUUGCUGCAUGGUGGGCACAAUUCCACAUCUCCCUGUGAGGCUGGGGGAGGGGAAGUAAAUAGCAAAAAAACAAAAAAGACAUUGGAAGAGAUUUUCCUCCUGUCAUCUGUGAUGAGGAGUGGCAACUUGCUGGUUAGUAGAUAAUCAGCCUACAGAAGAGAGCUGCCUUCUAUUGCUCACAAGUUUGUUUCCGCUCAAGAGUAUCCCACAAUUUGAUUUAUGCUAAAUGGGGAGUGAGUGGACAAAGAAGAAUAUCUAAGGAAACCUAAAGAAAAAUAGCAUCUAGAGAGAACAGGAACACAGAAGAAAUGGAUGGUGAAAAAGAAUUGCUGGUGGAGAUGAAUGACAACUUUAAUUUUGAAAAAGCACCUGAGAAAAUUCAGUCAGUAUAAAAUAAACUUUCUAGCAAUUAAACUACAUUAAAAUGUGGUAGAAAAAGAGAGGCAUGGCCACUAUUGGGGACUAAAUAGUGGCCUUGGAUAUCAUGUAGAAGUAGUUAUCUUUGGAAAAGUAAAAAUCCAAAGACACGGAGAUUUCAAAAAUCAAAACACCUAGAAGACGAGUCUAAGAUAUUUAAUGUGAGUAAGUGAAGAACCACAAGGAGAAAAAGGGAAACGAUACAGGAGGGCAC